rnacentral:rRNA from 1 species
AUGAACGCUAGCUACAAGGCUUAACACAUGCAAGUCGAGGGGCAGCGAGAGGAAAGCUUGCUUCCUGUCGGCGACCGGCGCACGGGUGAGUAACGCGUAUCCAACCUUCCCCAUAGUAGAGGAUAGCCCGGCGAAAGUCGGAUUAAUACUCUAUGUUGUGUCAUGAGGACAUCUGAAUAACACCAAAGAUUUAUCGCUAUGGGAUGGGGAUGCGUCUGAUUAGGUAGUCGGCGGGGUAACGGCCCACCGAGCCGACGAUCAGUAGGGGUUCUGAGAGGAAGGUCCCCCACAUUGGUACUGAGACACGGACCAAACUCCUACGGGAGGCAGCAGUGAGGAAUAUUGGUCAAUGGGCGCGAGCCUGAACCAGCCAAGUAGCGUGCAGGAAUGACUGCCCUAUGGGUUGUAAACUGCUUUUAUGCGGGAAUAAAGUCAGGUACGUGUACCUGUUUGUAUGUACCGCAUGAAUAAGGACCGGCUAAUUCCGUGCCAGCAGCCGC